UAGGACUAGGUUUACAUUUGCAUAGCGCACGGGAAUCUGGCUGCCCCCACCCUAAUCUUUUAUUAGGCAGAUACUUCGCUUCCUGACCUGCGCCAUGUUGCCUGUUUCUUUACUGUGCGUGCGCUGACGAAGAAAAGGGAAGAUGGAGCCUCCGUGUUGAACAUGCCUGGCCCUCAGGGAGUGGCUGUCUCUGGAAGUUCUCUUAUCUGUCCGAGAAAAACUUCUUUCAAAAAAAUGCAAUUGCCUGAAGACCUUCUCCCUAGAAUUCUUAUCAAAUUAUCAGAAAAGAUUAACCACCAGAGAAGAGGAAAUACUAAAAGUUGCCACCAUGCCAAGAUAGCCUUUCCAGCUAUUCUUCUGAGACAGCUCUAGAGGUUACCUGGGAUACUUUACCUGCAUAAUAAGGUUUGCUAUGAAGAAAGCCAUCAUUCUACCAUCAAAAUACAUUCAUGAAGAUGAAGUGAGAUUGGCAAAGAAUGUCCCUGAAUAAAACCUCUAUAUCUGGAUAAUUAUGUUUCUGUGAAUCAUUUUUGAGAAAUUUGUACAAUUCAAGAUUUCAUUUUGGAACUGAAAUGAAAAUGAAAGAAUCUGUUCUUAUAAGAUUUACAGAAAUUCUACUGACUCAAAUGGUCUCGAUAGCUGAUACAAGUACCUGAACUUUUUCACUUUUUCAUAAAGUCUCUGCUGUCUCCAUUACUUUGCCAGCCAUCUAGCUUGUAGCUGUUAUGUCUGACUUCAUUCUUGAUUGCUCUCACCUGAUUUUUUUCUUUCUUUUUUUUUUUUUUUUAAGUCCACUUUAUUUCUCUUUCUAAUCAAACUCCUCUCCUUUCUCCCGGAGGUAAUCAUGAUCUGACUUUUAUGAUAAUCAUUCUGACUUUUUCUUUUCUUUCUUCUUUUCUUU